rnacentral:lncRNA from 1 species
GGGAUAUAGCUCAGUUGGUAGAGGGCGUGCCUCACAUGCAUAAGCCCCUGGGUUCAAUCCCCAGCACCACCAAAAAAUUAAAAAACAAAUAAGAAUACAGGUGCUAGGGUUGUAGCUCAGCAGUGUAUAGCUCUUGGCUAGCAAUUGUAAGGCACUAAGUUCAAUCAUCAGCACGACAUAAAAAUAAAUAAAACAAAUGUACUAUGUCCAUCUACAACUAAGAAAUAAAUUAAUAAAAAAAGAUUACAGACUUUCUUUAGCCAUCUGAGUGGUAGUAUCUGACCUGGAAAACUGUACAUACAUUAUGGGAGAAUCCAAAUGAUUUUAAAUGGUUUUUCGCCUUACAGAUACAGGAUCCCUGGACUACCCUUUUGAGAACCAAAAGAAGUUUUAAUAUUUUUUAUUCAUGAAGCCCCAAGAUCAGAAUUUUCUUAAUUCGUUAAGUAUCUCUACCCCAAUUUAAAUAUAGCUUUAGAAUGGAGCACUAACAUAUUUG